rnacentral:lncRNA from 1 species
CAGAAUCUCUCUAUAUCCCAUCAAUAGAGAACUAAAGUCAAAUAGGGUUUGCUUUGGAAGAUCCAUUCCCUAACUUUAGAUCCUAAAAGCAAUGGAUACAGAUACGCUUCCGCUUAAGUCUAUCCAAUCAGAGAAUCAUAUGGUUAAAUGAUUCAUUUUUAUGAAUCAUUGUUGAAUUUAAAUCAACAAUUGGUAUCAGAG